rnacentral:rRNA from 1 species
GACGAACGCUGGCGGCGUGCUUAACACAUGCAAGUCGAGCGGAAAGGCCUUUCGGGGUACUCGAGCGGCGAACGGGUGAGUAACACGUGAGUAAUCUGCCCUUCACUCUGGGAUAGCCACCGGAAACGGUGAUUAAUACCGGAUACGACCAUCCCCGGCAUCGGGUGGUGGUGGAAACUUUUUUGGGUGGGGGAUGUGCUCGCGGCCUAUCAGCUUGUUGGUGGGGUAAUGGCCUACCAAGGCUUCGACGGGUAGCCGGCCUGAGAGGGUGACCGGCCACACUGGGACUGAGACACGGCCCAGACUCCUACGGGAGGCAGCAGUGGGGAAUAUUGGACAAUGGGCGGAAGCCUGAUCCAGCAACGCCGCGUGAGGGAUGACGGCCUUCGGGUUGUAAACCUCUUUCAGCACCGACGAAGCGCAAGUGACGGUAGGUGCAGAAGAAGGACCGGCCAACUACGUGCCAGCCGCCGCCGUAAUAC